rnacentral:tRNA from 1 species
GGCCCCUUAGCUCAGUUGGUUAGAGCAUCUGACUCAUAAUCAGGGGGUCCUAGGUUCGAGCCCUAGAGGGGCCA